CCUACGGGUGGCAGCAGUGAGGAAUAUUGGUCAAUGGACGGAAGGCUGAACCAGCCAAGCCGCGUGCAGGAAGACGGCUCUAUGGGUUGUAAACUGCUUUUGUACAAGGGUAAACGUGAAUACGUGUAUUCAUUUGCAAGUACUGUAUGAAUAAGGAUCGGCUAACUCCGUGCCAGCAGCCGCGGUAAUACGGAGGAUGCAAGCGUUAUCCGGAUUUAUUGGGUUUAAAGGGUGCGUAGGUGGUUUGUUAAGUAAGAGGUGAAAGGUAGAGGCUCAACCCGAGAACUGCCUGUGAAACUGUAAGGCGGGAGUGUGUGUGAGGUAGGCGGAAUGCGUGGUGUAGCGGUGAAAUGCGUAGAUAUCACGCAGAACCCCGAUUGCGAAGGCAGCUUACUAAUCCAUAACUGACGCGGAGGCACGAAAGCGUGGGGAUCAAACAGGAUUAGAUACCCCUGUAGUC
rnacentral:rRNA from 1 species